rnacentral:ncRNA from 2 species
AUGUGAUACAGAGGCCGCGGUUGUCAUUAGUAUUGUGUGUUUUCUUAAAUGAACAUUCAAGAAAGGGUCACUCGCCGAAAUGCAUGAAAUAGAUCAUGUGUUGGGAUUAUACUGAAUAAGUAUAGUACUGUCUUCAGAAAGUUGCCCGAUUUUCUAAAGAAGUGCUUAUCAUGU